CCAGUUAAGCUACGCAGUCGGUGGUGUUUGUUUGGGUCUGUAUAUAUAUCUCUCUCUCUCUCCGUUCCGUCGGAUAUCGGCGGUCUUAUCGGAAGAAUUUUGAGUCGCGGAAUCUAAGAUCUUCGACGGGGAUGAAUCGCCACAACGAUCCCAAUCCCUUCGAAGAAGAAGAAGAAGAAGCCGUCAAUCCAUUUUCGAAGGGUGCUGCUGCCGCUGGAAGGGUUCCGGCUGCAUCUAGACCAGUUGGAUUUGGCAAAGGCCAUGACGCUACAAUUGACAUUCCAUUGGAUACAAUGAAUGACUCUUCAAAGAAACAGAGAGAGCUCGCUGAUUGGGAAGCAGAUCUUAGGAGGAGAGAAAUGGAUAUUAAACGAAGAGAAGAAGCAGUUGCUAAGUCUGGUGUCCAGAUAGAUGAUAAGAAUUGGCCACCAUUUUUCCCAAUCAUACAUCAUGACAUUGCUAAUGAGAUACCAGUUCAUGCACAGAAGCUGCAGUAUCUGGCAUUUGCUAGUUGGUUGGGUAUCGUUUUGUGCCUCGUGUUCAACCUCAUUGCUACAAUCGUAUGCUGGAUUAAAGGCGGUGGUGUGAAAAUAUUUUUCCUCGCAACGAUCUAUGCAUUGAUGGGUUGCCCAAUUUCAUAUGUACUGUGGUACAGGCCUCUCUAUAGAGCAAUGAGGACUGAUAGUGCUUUGAAGUUUGGUUGGUUUUUCCUGUUCUACUUGAUUCACAUCGGAUUCUGCAUACUUGCCGCCAUAGCUCCUCCAAUUGUCUUCCAUGGGAGGUCAUUAACGGGUGUGCUCGCAGCAAUUGAUGUCAUCUCAGACAGUUUGUUAGCCGGGAUCUUCUACUUUAUCGGCUUUGGUCUCUUCUGCUUGGAGUCGGUUCUGAGUCUCUGGGUUCUCCAGAAAAUCUACCUCUACUUCAGGGGAAACAAGUGAUGAAAAAACGUAAAGUACCGUCCUCAAGAAGAAAGUGGUCUCAUCUAAUACCAAGGGAGAAUGGAAGCUUUGGAAGAAGCAAAUAAUUCUCAGGGCUUUUACAAGGAGGGGAGGCGCUCUCAAGAGCCCCCAAGAUAGCCGGCCCAAAGGUAGCAGCAUAUGCCCAAAGAGAUCCAACAAGGAGGAGAAGGGAAAUAUUAGGACAGUGAUCCUGUGCAGGGGCCCACAUCUCUCCUCCACUCCUCACCUUAAACACCUCAUCCCCAUCUAUCCACUCAGAUUCCGCCACGUGUCAAAUCUAAUAUCCGAAACCCCGAUGCAACCAAAAUAAAAAA